rnacentral:rRNA from 1 species
UACGUAGGGGGCAAGCGUUGUCCGGAUUUAUUGGGCGUAAAGAGCGUGUAGGCGGCCAUACAGGUCCGUUGUGAAAACUGGAGGCUCAACCUCCAGACGUCGAUGGAAACCGUCUGGCUAGAGUCCGGAAGAGGAGAGUGGAAUUCCUGGUGUAGCGGUGAAAUGCGCAGAUAUCAGGAAGAACACCCGUGGCGAAAGCGGCUCUCUGGGACGGUACUGACGCUGAGACGCGAAAGCGUGGGGAGCGAACAGG